rnacentral:rRNA from 1 species
AACGCGAAGAACCUUACCUGGGCUUGACAUGCACCGGAAUCCUCCAGAGAUGGGGGCGCCGUAAGGUCGGUGUGCAGGUGGUGCAUGGCUGUCGUCAGCUCGUGUCGUGAGAUGUUGGGUUAAGUCCCGCAACGAGCGCAACCCUUGUUCCAUGUUGCCAGCACGUAAUGGUGGGGACUCAUGGGAGACUGCCGGGGUCAACUCGGAGGAAGGUGGGGAUGACGUCAAGUCAUCAUGCCCCUUAUGUCCAGGGCUUCACACAUGCUACAAUGGCCGGUACAAAGGGCUGCUAAGCCGUGAGGUGGAGCGAAUCCCAUAAAGCCGGUCUCAGUUCGGAUCGGGGUCUGCAACUCGACCCCGUGAAGUCGGAGUCGCUAGUAAUCGCAGAUCAGCAACGCUGCGGUGAAUACGUUCCCGGGCCUUGUA